UGUUAACAAGACAGUAAUGUCAGAACUCUGUGCCAGCCUCCUUCCGUCAAAAGAAGCAAUCCCCAGAACAGAAACGGAGGCUUUGGUAAGGCAUCCUGUAAACCCUCUUGUUUUCUUUGAGUGGGAGCAGCCAGAAGCCAGCAAGAGCAGAAUAUACCAGUGGGUAGCCCUCGUGUUUUAAAGUUGCUUUUCAGGAGCCCCUUGGCAGGGAGACAAGUGCUGCAGCCAUCAGCGUUCUGCUUCAGUUCCCCAGGAAGGGGCAGAGCUUCAGCCUCAGUGCUGCAGUGGUGGCCCAGUGGUGAAGCAAGAGGCCAGCUUGUGAACAAAUGGCUUGGAAAACUAAUAUGAAGCCACUGCAUUAGCAAAAAAACAGAGAAAGAGGGGGCUCCAGGAAAGCCACUGUCAUCCUCUGUCAGAACUUCUAUAGCAGUCUGGCGUACUCAGAAAUAUGAGGCAUAUGUCAAGCAGCAACCAACUGUCAAGUGAGGAGGGCCAAUCAUUACCAUCAUGCUCUCAAAAGAUGGAACUCUGUAUUGUUGAACGUACACCCAAACUGACAGUCCAGAGUGCGAACUGCCCCACUGAUUUCAGAGAGGUAGCUACUGUGCUCCAGAAAGCAAUUUUCUUCCAAAUCUUUGGAUAGCCAAGAAAGGGUCCAUUUUUGUGUCCCUGAGGGACCCUCAUUGAAAGGUGCCUUAUCCAAUGGAAACUAUGACAAAAUCUGGUCGGAACAAAAACCACCUUUUCCAUCAGAAAAAAAAAAAUUAACAAGCUGAAUGAAAUUAUCCAAAUCAACCUUUUACACCAUUUCUUUUUCUAAGACAUUUAAAACAGUGGACUGUGAGAAUCAGUACUUUGCAGAAGCAGGUUUGUUACGCGCUAGCUGUUAACAUGACACAAGUGGAGAGAAAGAGCAUAUUCUGAAAAGUAAUCAGUUUUCAGGUUUGAAUACAUAGUAGUAGCAUUCUUUACUUUUUCAGAAUUGUAUCUUUUAUCCGAAUAGUUCAAAGCAUUCCUCAAAUAAUUUAUUACAUCUCACCACGUUCUCUCUGAGGCAUUUAAAUAUUACUUUCUUCAUUGUGGAAGACGGAAAAAUGGAGAAAUCAGAAAAUGAAAUGACUUUCCUAAGACCACACAGCGGGUCAGAAUCAGAGUGAAGAAAAGAAGCUUGAAGUGAUGACUUCUGCUCUACUGUUCCAAGCAGUGGAUAAUACAGUUCGUCUGUGACAUUCCCUGUACUGAGAGGUGAUAGUUUCCUAAAGAUCUGCUAUAAUUCAACAUGGAAGUUACUGGGACAGAUGCGUCAAUUACUGGGUGAAAUUCUGUGACCUAGCUAUUCAAAGGUCAGACUAGAUGGUCAGAAAGCUCUUGUCUAGUCUUAAAAUGUAAGUGUCGUUACCACUGUACAAACUUACUGGCCCCUUCUCUCUUUCCAACAAAAAUCGGCAAUUAGUCUUGUUUAAAAGCUUGCAAUGAAACUGCAUUUUUCAAUUCCAAGGCAUAUUAUGGCAGAGGUUGGCAAAAAUAGCUUGAAAAACCCUGAAAAAUUGUCAGGUUGAAUCAAUCAAAUCCAUUUUUAAUUUUACUUUGACAAAAAUUCACACUGGGGCUGACAGCUCCUUGUAAAAACAACUUUGCUCACUGCAGUUUGAAACACACAUGCUAUAAACCCUGAGAACGGGAUUUAUAAUAGAAGCCUGGCAGUCUCCUAACUCAAGCGGUAUUAUCACCAUGUGUGUGACAAUAAUAUAUUAGGACCAUACUUCAGAGCUCCUUCAUUAGAUCCUGACAUAUGGAGGAGAAAGGAGAGCCUGAAAACUGGGGAGGACAUAGAGUGCAGCCUCAGCUGUGCAUAUUUAUCAUCUAAAUCGAGUGAAGGCUAUUUAUUGACUUAUUGAUUCUAAUUCAAAAUUAGAACUUAAUUAAAAGUUUAGUUCAUUACCACACAGUUACAUGGCCCUCAAGACAUUUCCAGGCUAGUAAAGUACAUACUUAAUCAUGUGGUAUAUUGGGAAGGCUGGAUCUUCAGUUGUUAUAAAUCAGACAUUAGUAGUGCCAUGCUAAUUUACACCAUCUGGGGACAGGGCCUAUUAGUUUUCUGCGCAGGAGGCAGUUGUUAUUGUUUUAAAUGAAGGAGCUAAAAUGUAAUGUUGUCCUUUGCUGAGCAAUAGCAUAUGUUAACUUCCCACCACAAGGCAAGUAGCAGUGAGAAAUUUAGUCUCAGUGCCAUGUAUACUACAUACACUUACCAGACUCAGAACAGAAGCGCUCAGAAAUAGCAUAAAGGACCGUCUGCCAAAACUUUUAAUACCAAGCCCUGGAGAAGCUGUCCUGCCUUGGAAACCCAUUGUAGUGACUGCUAAGAGAGGUUGUAGCAGAGAGCAAACUUUCCUGCCAGUUCCUCCUCAGAACCACCACUGUGCACAUGUCAGGAUGCAGGCAACAUCGACACAAAGAUGCUUUUCAAGCUCUGAUGUUCUUUCUGGUUCUUGAGCUCCCUAAGCUCCAACCUCACGGCUGGUUGUGCCUUUUUCCCUCUGCACAGUUAGUGGAAUACUUUGUUUUUGUAAACUUGGCUUCUGAGGACAAGAUUCUCUGAAUGCUGCCCAUUUAGGAUUUGUCACAGCACAAGUUCAGAGUCCUGGCUAUUUUUGCAGCUCAGUGCACGUGUGCUGGUGUGAGCAGUGUGGUAGCAGCAACAGAGCCACACACACCAAGCCUGAAGUGACAAAGCUUUUGAAAACUGGUACACUGAGGACAAGGAGUAGCCACGUAAGAGAAUUGACUGGGGAACAGGCAUUUUAAUAGCUGUGUACUGGGUGCACCUGCUGCUACUCAGUGCUCAACCAAAUAGUAUUUCCCAACUAUUAAUCAAGCGUAUCCCAGAGCUGCUGAGGAGGAACUGGUUUUCCACAAUGCCAGAUGACCAUGAUGGCUGCUCUUCACUGCUGUCUUCCACAUUUAUGGAAUGUAGAGACACAGGCUGAUGUGGCCUCUGCUACCUUUGGUUACAGUUUCUCCAGCUGGCAAGAUCCCGUGCUUUGUCCUUUACAGUUUGGUUAAUAGUUUGUGCCUUUCUAGCACUUAGAGCUAUCACACUGAUUUCGUGGCAGUGGCUGCUUGAAACAGCUGAAAUGUCCUGCUGUCUCACAUCCCACCUACUGCUACAUGAUUUGCUGCUGUUUUUCUCUCCUUGUUAGGACCUAGGGUCUAUUUUAAUACGUUGAGAUUAAGCCCCCUUUUUGUGUGCGGCCAGUAUAUAUUCCUGGAAUGGACAGAGCCGUAAGGAAGGAUAGAAGAGUUUGCCUAGCAGCCAUGGUCUAUGCUGCAGCUUGUAGAGUAGAGUCAUUUUCAUUUUCCUUCUUUGCUUCUAGUGUGUUUGUUUUUUCCAUUCAAGGAAAAACAAAAAAGAUCAUGUUUUUGUCUAGUUCCCUUGCAGAACUUUUGACAUCUAAGGGAGAAUUUCUCUGACACCUUAUGAAUCCCACUGAAGCCUGAAAUAGAGCAGUUCAUGGCUAGCAGAGAUCUUUAUAAAACUGCCAUCAGUAGGAUUGUUAACAGCAAAGCAACCAAGCAGUGUAUCACUGCUUUUCAGGCUUGCAGAAACUGGUCUGACAGGGAAGAGCCCAUGCUAGGUAAAUUUUACAUUGAUUUCAGAUAGUGUCCUAGUAGUGAUGGUAACAAAACCUUGCAACAAUAGACCAAGGGGGCAGCGUGAUUAACAUCACUUGGAGAAUUUAGGAGGCAGUUUGGCUAUCUUUCCAAAAGAUAUUCUUUCAAACUGGCUUUGGCCUGAAUGGUCCCUUCUGGCCAAGGAGUCUGUCCAGAAUGUAUCAUUCAUUCAGCUCUUUCCUUCAUAUGUAACAGGCCGAGUAAGUCCUCAGAAUGAUCAUCAUUUGCAUAAAGAUAAUGGUUGUAAUAAAAGCUUGUGCUUCAGGGGUUUAGCUGGGUAACCACUGGGGUCAGGAAAGAUUUUUUUUCUUCCACUAUACAAUUAGCCAGAUGUACUCCGGGUUAGUGUUUGCUUAGCUCCUCUGAAGCACUGGAAAUUGGCUGUGCCUGGAGACUGACUUCUCCCUGGAGAACCUCAUGGUGGCUGGGCUCAUCCUGGGCCUCCUCUCCAGUACUCAGGGGGGAAGUGUCUGGCUGGGAAUAUCUAGAUCAGAUAACCAGCUGUCUCCUUUAGCCUCCACCUCCGCUGCAUUGAUACGGCCUGUGGAUGUGUAGCCACCUUCCCCCCAGCUCACCUUCAGGCACUCGGACAGAAGGGCUGCAGGUGCGUAAGCCCUGGCACAACAGGGAGAGCUCGCAGCAGCCCGGGGAGCUGUGUGGCUCCAAGCAC
ensembl:lncRNA